rnacentral:ncRNA from 2 species
AUGGCCGUGUGUGACUGGCGAGAGCGGAUAACCGCAAGGGAGCACAUUGCAUCGGAGCAAAGCCGUUCGCCUGGGCAGAGGUA